AACCUGCCCAAGGGAUCGGGAUAACACCUGGAAACAGAUGCUAAUACCGGAUAACAAUAGAUGAUGCCUAUCAACUGUUUAAAAGAUGGUUCUGCUAUCACUCUUGGAUGGACCUGCGGUGCAUUAGCUAGUUGGUAGGGUAACGGCCUACCAAGGCGAUGAUGCAUAGCCGAGUUGAGAGACUGAUCGGCCACAUUGGGACUGAGACACGGCCCAAACUCCUACGGGAGGCAGCAGAU
rnacentral:rRNA from 1 species